rnacentral:rRNA from 1 species
UACAGAGGUCUCAAGCGUUGUUCGGAUUCAUUGGGCGUAAAGGGUGCGUAGGUGGCGCGGUAAGUCGGGUGUGAAAUCUCGGAGCUUAACUCCGAAAAUGCAUUCGAUACUGCCGUGCUUGAGGACUGGAGAGGAGACUGGAAUUCAUGGUGUAGCAGUGAAAUGCGUAGAGAUCAGGAGGAAGACCAGUGGCGAAGGCGGGUCUCUGGACAGUUCCUGACGCUGAGGCACGAAGGCCAGGGGAGCAAACGGG